rnacentral:misc_RNA from 1 species
AAAUGCGAUACGUAAUGCGAAUUGCAGAAUUCAGUGAAUCAUCAAAUCUUUGAACGCAAAUGGCGCUUCUGGGUAGCCCUAGGAGCACACCUCUCUCAGUAUCGGUUCAACAACCAAUCAGCAGCGUGCUUUUCAAUGAAAAACACGUGUGGCUGGAAAAUGAGAGUCUGAGAUGCUUUCGUCGCUCAGUCUCUUGAAAUUCAUGGAGUAAGUCAUAUGAUUCGAUCGGACCAGUGAUUUAUAAUUUCGGUUAUAAAUCUAGGCGGUGUCGGACUUUGUUACUCGAUGGCAGUGACGUGAAUAUUGGCCUUCGGGUCUUUUCAUUUACGUGUAUCUGUUUUCGAAUGACGUUAUAAAAAGUCUGGGAUAGCUGAACGGUCUGAUAUUUCAAACGAAUGCAAUGUCUUACGUGUUAUAAAUUUUAAAUAUGAUCUUAACUGUUAUUAAUAUCAGUUUUGUAUCUGAAUUUUGAUCUGAGAUGAAGUGAGACAACCCCCUGAAUUUAAGC